rnacentral:sRNA from 1 species
ACUUUCUGAGCCACUGUGCUCCCGGCAACAAACACAAACUUCCUUUGAGGGAGAGUCUAAAACUCCAAGUUCUUGAACUUCGCUGAAGCUGCCAGCAUCCAGAGUAGUUGGAAUUCCCAGUGAGCGUGAUACAUCGUUCUCCUGGCCACUGCACAUCAGUACAUUUUCAUACAGUGGCUCAGACAUUGCAGAAAUUAAUCAAACAAGCUGCCAAUCUUACAGAGCCUCAUUACUGCACCAUGCAGCACCUGAUACCUGCAGCAAGAGGUAAACAUUUGGGUCGGUGAUGUAUCACAUAGACAGGCAGAGAUUUGGUUCCUGGUCAUGGAUAAUUAAUGUACACAGAUGAGGUAUCAAGGAAGCUGGGGAGAUAAUGGCUGGAGUCUGUGGGAUACCCUGACAUCUGUCUGCAGUAAGUCCUCACAGCUGUGUACAAGGCAGAACUCACACACUACACCUACCACCUCAUAUCAUGCUGCUAGAUCAAUCAAAAGUCUUUCUGGACAACGGAAUUAACUCUUUUAGUAACCUUUUUACCAGUUGACCAUUGAUAACUGCAAUGCAAUAUGAAACAUCAUGACGUACAUCCAUGGAUCUAUUAAAUACCAGCUAUAUAU